rnacentral:sRNA from 1 species
UCAACAGUUACGGAAUAUAAAAAACUGUAACUUGGAUUAAAAUGGGGACAUUUGUAAAAUAGAAUAAUUAAAUAAUUCUUCCAAGUGCUUUACAUGAGGAGAAAAAUUAGACCUUAGCUUCUGA